rnacentral:tRNA from 1 species
CCGCCCUUAGCUCAGUUGGUAGAGCAGCUCCCUUUUAAGGAGUGGGUCGUUGGUUCGAGUCCAACAGGGCGGA